GACGUAGGAUGCAAGCGUUGUCCGGAAUUAUUGGGCGUAAAGAGUUCGUAGGCGGUUACUUAAGUCUGGUGUUAAAGACGGGAGCUCAACUCCGGCAUGGCAUUGGAAACUGGGUGGCUAGAGUACGGUAGAGGUCUCGGGAAUUCCAGGUGUAGCGGUGAAAUGCGUAGAUAUCGUCAGGAACGCCAAUGGUGAAGACAGGUAACUGGGCUAGUUCUGACACUGAGGCACGAAAGCGUGGGGAGCGAACGGG
rnacentral:rRNA from 1 species